UAUUGCACAAUGGGCGAAAGCCUGAUGCAGCAACGCCGCGUGAGCGAUGAAGGCCUUCUGGUCGUAAAGCACUGUCCUCAAGGAAGAUAAUGACGGUACUUGAGGAGGAAGCCCCUGCUAACUACGUCCCAGAAGCCGCGGUAAUACGUAGGGGGCUAGCGCUAUCCGGAAUUAUUGGGCGUAAAGGGUGCGUAGGUGGUUUCUUAAGUCAGAGGUGAAAGGCUACGGCUCAACCGUAGUAAGCCUUUGAAACUGGGAAACUUGAGUGCAGGAGAGGAGAGUGGAAUUCCUAGUGUAGCGGUGAAAUGCGUAGAUAUUAGGAGGAACACCAGUUGCGAAGGCGGCUCUCUGGACUGUAACUGACACUGAGGCACGAAAGCGUGGGGAGCAAACA
rnacentral:rRNA from 1 species